UACGGGAGGCAGCAGUGGGGAAUAUUGCACAAUGGGCGCAAGCCUGAUGCAGCCAUGCCGCGUGUAUGAAAAAGGCCUUCGGGUUGUAAAGUACUUUCAGUCGUGAGGAAGGUGUUAAGGUUAAUAACCUUAGCAAUUGACGUUAGCGACAGAAGAAGCACCGGCUAACUCCGUGCCAGCAGCCGCGGUAAUACGGAGGGUGCGAGCGUUAAUCGGAAUUACUGGGCGUAAAGGGCACGCAGGCGGUUAAUUAAGUUGGAUGUGAAAUCCCCGGGCUUAACCUGGGAAUGGCAUUCAAGACUGGUUAGCUAGAGUCUUGUAGAGGGGGGUUAGAAUUCCAUGUGUAGCGGUGAAAUGCGUAGAGAUGUGGAGGAAUACCGGUGGCGAAGGCGGCCCCUGGACAAAGACUGACGCUCAUGUGCGAAAGCGUGGGGAGCAAACGAGGACUUAGAUACC
rnacentral:rRNA from 1 species